AUGGCUGGUGUUCUAACGUGGGCCCCUGACCGGGGUUGCGGACAGUGUCUGGUGGGUAGUUUGACUGGGGCGGUCUCCUCCCAAAGAGUAACGGAGGAGCACGAAGGUUGGCUAAUCCUGGUCGGACAUCAGGAGGUUAGUGCAAUGGCAUAAGCCAGCUUGACUGCGAGCGUGACGGCGCGAGCAGGUGCGAAAGCAGGUCAUAGUGAUCCGGUGGUUCUGAAUGGAAGGGCCAUCGCUCAACGGAUAAAAGGUACUCCGGGGAUAACAGGCUGAUACCGCCCAAGAGUUCAUAUCGACGGCGGUGUUUGGCACCUCGAUGUCGGCUCAUCACAUCCUGGGGCUGAAGUAGGUCCCAAGGGUAUGGCUGUUCGCCAUUUAAAGUGGUACGCGAGCUGGGUUUAGAACGUCGUGAGACAGUUCGGUCCCUAUCUGCCGUGGGCGCUGGAAGAUUGAGGGGGGCUGCUCCUAGUACGAGAGGACCGGAGUGGACGCAUCACUGGUGUUCGGGUUGUCAUGCCAAUGGCACUGCCCGGUAGCUAAAUGCGGAAGAGAUAAGUGCUGAAAGCAUCUAAGCACGAAACUUGCCCCGAGAUGAAUCUUCCCUGAGACUUUAAGUCUCCUGAAGGAACGUUGAAGACGACGACGUUGAUAGGCCGGGUGUGUAAGCGCAGCGAUGCGUUGAGCUAACCGGUACUAAUGAACCGUGAGGCUUAACCUUACAACGCCGAAG
rnacentral:rRNA from 1 species